GUCCAGUCAAGAGUCUGGUGAUCUGAGAGAACCAUAUCAUUCCCAUAGCCUUCAACAUCAUUUUCUUCUCUCAGGGUGAUUCUUGAUUGAAAGGUUAAUUGCAUCAACGUAUAACAUAUUCCAUACGGUUGCAAAACGCAGACAGUGCUGGGAAGCCCAAGCCUACCAUCUUCAGUUCGGGAAAACCCGCAGCCUGAAGGCCCGAUAAAAGCCGGCGUAUAUUAGAACUGGUGACCUAUGGCCAACCAAUCCAUUCCAUCAGUGCCCCCAACCAAUACGCCAAAUUGGUGGUGGUUCUAGACCGUUAAACUAUAAUAGGGAAAAUCCCAAAUAUAGUCACAUGAAUUUCCUAACUAUAAAAAUGUGAAAUGAUUGUGAACAAAGAAGGAUUAUUGGCUUAUAAAACACAAUUACUUAA